rnacentral:rRNA from 1 species
CCUACGGGAGGCAGCAGUGGGGAAUAUUGCACAAUGGAGGAAAGCCUGAUGCAGCGACGCCGCGUGAGUGAAGAAGUAUUUCGGUAUGUAAAGCUCUAUUAGCAGGGAGGAAAAUGACGGUACCUGUUUCAGAAUCCACGUAUCACUACGUUCCAGCAGGCGCGGUACUAUGGAGGGGGCAAGCGUAAUCCGGAUUUAUCGGGCGUAAAGGGAGCGUAGUCGGCAGCGCAGGUCAGAAGUGAAAUGCCGGGGCUUAACCCCGGAACUGCUUUUGAAACUGUGCGGCUAGAGUGCAGGAGAGGUAAGUGGAAUGCAUGGUGUAGCGGUGAAAUGCGUAGAGAUUAGAAAGAACACCAGUGGCGAAGGCAGCUUACUGGACUGUAACUGACGUUGAGGCUCGAAAGCGUGGGGAGCAAACAGGAUUAGAUACCCUGGUAGUC